UACGGAGGGUGCAAGCGUUAUCCGGAUUCACUGGGUUUAAAGGGUGCGUAGGCGGGCAGGUAAGUCAGUGGUGAAAUCCUAGAGCUUAACUCUAGAACUGCCGUUGAUACUAUCUGUCUUGAAUCCCGUGGAGAUGAGCGGAAUAUGUCAUGUAGCGGUGAAAUGCUUAGAUAUGACAUAGAACACCAAUUGCGAAGGCAGCUCGUUACACGAAGAUUGACUCUGAGGCACGAAAGCGUGGGGAUCAAACAGG
rnacentral:rRNA from 1 species